UGUGGACCCGACCCGGGCUCCUGUACUGUACCGCACCGACCGGCCUGUAGUGUACUGUACCGCCCCGUGGACCCGCGCUCCGCGACCGGCCUGUACUGUACUGCCCGGCCGCCUCGUGGAACCCAUCCCCCGCCCCCCAACCAGCCACUAAUCCCGCUGCCCGGCCUCCAACACUCCCGGGUAAUGGGGGACGGGACCGGACCCGAUCCAUGCGGCCCCGGGUGCUCCGGGCCGAUCCCCGCCGCCAGACUCUCGGGUGGUCGGGGCCGAGCUCCAAGCCCGAUUGUCCGCCAUCGCUGCAGUGGCCCAUGGAGCGAGUGCCGGGCCCGAGAGGCAGCAGCAGCCGCGGGGUGGCCCGGCUCCAGACCCUAUCUCCGGCUCCAGGCCACGGCUUGGCCCCGGGGAAGCUCAGCAGAUCUGUCUCGGCAGCGUGAGUGACCAAGUUGAUAACCAGCUGGCUGUCUCAUGGAAUUUGAACUGAUUCAAUUCACUUUGUCCUUUGACAAAAAGAGUCCACUGCAAUAAUGGAAGAUCUACUGUGAAACCAUCCUUGAAUCAUUUCUCUGAGGUUCUGAUGGUGAUUGUCCCGAACGCUUAUGUACUGGCAUGGUACUUGACACAUGUGCUUCACAAUUGAUAACCAGCUGGCUGUCUGAUGGAAUUUGAACUGAUUCAAUUCACUUUGUCCUUUGACAAAAAGAGUCCACUGCAAUAAUGGAAGAUCUACUGUGAAACCAUCCUUGAAUCAUUUCUCUGAGGUUCUGAUGGUGAUUGUCCCGAACGCUUAUGUACUGGCAUGGUACUUGACACAUGUGCUUCACAAUGCAAAAGUUAUUGAAAACAUCUGCAGUACGUGCUAUUUGUUGUGUAAACACACAUGAUUUGGGGAGGAUAAUAUUACACACAAACUGAUUUUUUGCAGCAAUGCCUAGUAGUAAGCAAUUGAAGAUUGUGAUUACCUGCCAACGGUACAAGUGAAGACUGUAACUUUUUUUAUAUCUGCCUGUAACAAUUGUCUUGUAUAUGUGAAUUUGAUUGUGGGAUAUAAUUGCAUUAACCUUAUUAAACUAUUGUGUUAUCCAUAA